UACGUAGGGGGCAAGCGUUGUCCGGAUUCAUUGGGCGUAAAGAGCGUGUAGGCGGCCAGGUAGGUCGGUUGUGAAAACUGGAGGCUCAACCUUCAGAGGUCGACCGAAACCAUCUGGCUAGAGUCCGGGAGAGGAGAGUGGAAUUCCUGGUGUAGCGGUGAAAUGCGUAGAGAUCGGGAGGAACACCGGUGGCGAAGGCGGAUCUCUGGGCCUUACCUGACGCUGAGGCGCGAAAGCUAGGGGAGCGAACAGG
rnacentral:rRNA from 1 species